UGGGGAAUUUUGGACAAUGGGGGAAACCCUGAUCCAGCCAUCCCGCGUGUGCGAUGAAGGCCUUCGGGUUGUAAAGCACUUUUGGCAGGAAAGAAACGUCAUGGGUUAAUACCCCGUGAAACUGACGGUACCUGCAGAAUAAGCACCGGCUAACUACGUGCCAGCAGCCGCGGUAAUACGUAGGGUGCAAGCGUUAUACGGAAUUACUGGGCGUAAAGCGUGCGCAGGCGGUUCGGAAAGAAAGAUGUGAAAUCCCAGAGCUCAACUUUGGAACUGCAUUUUUAACUAUCGGGCUAGAGUGUGUCAGAGGGAGGUGGAAUUCCGCGUGUAGCAGUGAAAUGCGUCGAUAUGCGGAGGAACACCGAUGGCGAAGGCAGCCUCCUGGGAUAACACUGACGCUCAUGCACGAAAGCGUGGGGAGCAAACAGG
rnacentral:rRNA from 1 species